rnacentral:tRNA from 1 species
AAAGGGAGACCUAAUUCGGGUAUAAGACGAAAAAAUAGUAGUCGGAACCAAGAAUCAAUCCCAAAAGGUCGGAACGAGGUAUGUGGCUUUCAAACUAGGUUCUGGGUUCAUAAAAGACCUGAAUCAGGAACAAGGGCUAUUAGCUCAGGUGGUUAGAGCGCACCCCUGAUAAGGGUGAGGUCCCUGGUUCGAGUCCAGGAUGGCCCACCUGCACAGGUGGCAAAAACAAAGAAAAGAAGCGAGGAAUCAGCACCUUAUCUUACUUAUAUAGUAAGAGAGAAUGCUGGCUCUGAGUACAGAGUCCAGAGGAACCUUGAAAACUGCAUAGAGCUAGGUGAAAAAGCCAAAAAAGAAGACCGCAAG